rnacentral:rRNA from 1 species
UACGUAGGGUGCGAGCGUUGUCCGGAAUUAUUGGGCGUAAAGGGCUCGUAGGCGGUUUGCCGCGUCGGGAGUGAAAACUCAGGGCUUAACCCUGAGCCUGCUUCCGAUACGGGCAGACUAGAGGUAUGCAGGGGAGAACGGAAUUCCUGGUGUAGCGGUGAAAUGCGCAGAUAUCAGGAGGAACACCGGUGGCGAAGGCGGUUCUCUGGGCAUUACCUGACGCUGAGGCACGAAGGCCAGGGGAGCAAACGGG